GAUGAACGCUAGCGGCAGGCCUAACACAUGCAAGUCGAGGGGUAACAGGGAGUGCUUGCACUUCGCUGACGACCGGCGCACGGGUGCGCACCGCGUAUGGAACCUACCUCUUGCAGGGGAAUAGCCCAGGGAAACUUGGAUUAAUGCCCCGUAGUACUAUUUUGCGGCAUUGCAUUAUAGUUAAAGCCUUCGGGCGGCAAGAGAUGGCCAUGCGUCCCAUUAGCUGGAUGGUAAGGUAACGGCUUACCAUGGCUACGAUGGGUAGGGGCCCUGAGAGGGGGAUCCCCCACACUGGUACUGAGACACGGACCAGACUCCUACGGGAGGCAGCAGUGAGGAAUAUUGGACAAUGGAGGAGACUCUGAUCCAGCCAUGCCGCGUGCAGGAAGACGGCCCUAUGGGGUGUAAACUGCUUUUAUACGGGAAGAAAAACAGCUACGUGUAGUUGACUGACGGUACCGUAAGAAUAAGACCGCUAACU
rnacentral:rRNA from 1 species